GUUUGCAAACUUGCAGAAUGACGAAGGUGUGAAGCUCUGUUGAGACUGUGGUUGGAUGAAGCUCCUGAAAGGAAUCCUGGUGGGGCCUGUGGCUCAGGUUGCAGCUGGAGGCACCGUGUAGUCGGGGGACAGAACCGGCACAGGUUCCUCCCUGUGUCCCCUUGUGCCCUGCUGGUAGCCUGCACCUGCUUAUGUUGGACCCCCAGGCUGGGGAUCUACUGUGAUAAAGCUGGAACUGCAACUUGCACUGUCCUUUGUGCGUCCAUGGC
rnacentral:lncRNA from 1 species